rnacentral:lncRNA from 1 species
UAUUUUUAUUUUGUUUUUAUGAUCAUGUAACAGGUUGAAUAGUAUACCUCCAAAUUGCUCUGUACUCGGAACCUCAAAAUGUGACCUUAUUUGGGAAUAGAGUCUACAUAAAUAUUAGUUAUGAUAAUAAUGGUGAUGAUGAGGAUAUAGUCUGUAUUAGCUUUACACGGUUGCUGUAACAAAUUGCCACAGACCAGGUGGCUUAAGGCCACAGAAAUGUAUUCUUUCACAGUACCAGAGGCCAGAAGUCUGAAAUCAAAUUGUCAGCAAGGUUAGUUUCUUUUGAAGUCUCUGAGCAAGAAACCAACCCAGACCUCUCUCCUAGCUUCUGAUAGUUGCCAGCAAUCCUUGGCGUCCUUGGCUUGUGGGUGCAUCUCUCUAAUCCCUGCCUCCAUCUUCCCACGGCAGUCUCCUCUUUGUGUAUCACUCUGUUGCUAUUGUCUUGUAAGGUCACCAGUUAUUGGAUUUAGGGCCCACUCUAAUCCAGUAUCCUCAUCUUAAUUACAUCUUCAAAGACCCUAUUUCCACAUAAGGUCACAUUUUGAGGUUCUCAGUAGAGAGGAAUUUUGGGGGACACUGCUACAUAGUCAUAAAAAACAAAAUAAGAAUAUAGGCAUAAAAAUAAAAUUCUAAACAUACCUGUCUGAUGAAAGAUUCUAAUUAGAUUGGUCAUGACCAAUGUAGGUUUUAUCUGGAGUAGCUAUGGAACCUUUCCAAGGGAUGUAUUUUGUUGACAAAUUCCAGUUUUCAAGUUUUUUUCAAUCUUUGGGUAGGUCUGUAGGGCCCUAGAAAACUGGAUAAUUCAUGAGAAAAAUCCUGUUUUUCUGCCUCACCCAGUUUAUGGUUUAGUCUUAUCCUCGCUCAUCUCAGUAUGAGAUGCCAUAUCUUUAUUCAGCACCAUCAGAGAAAUAGAGGGUUUUGGCCAAAGUCUCUUGUUGGUGAGAGUAUCCAUGAAUCCCCCACUUGUAGCUAGCUCAGGAAGAAUUUUCAGUACUGUAAAAUUCAUGAAACAUGGACACACUGAUGAAUGUAAUAUGGUCCUGCUUUAAUGAUUCAGAAGCACAUCAAGGUUAUGCUUUAAGGCCAUAAUUUUGAGCAACAGUCUUAACUGCAGUAGAAAUAUGUGGAUGAUGGCUAAUAGAAAAUCUCCAUUAACCAACAGCUAGACUGGAAGGGACUAGCUCUUUUUCCCUUCACUUAAAAGUUAAUAAAUAAGUGAAUUGGGAUGGCAAUUAAGCUCACCCUUUUUGCUUUAUACGCCAAUAUUUCUGUACAUGAUUGUAGUCUCUGGGUAGGGUUGAGGAUGCUGUAUCAGAGACCACGAGAGGAUUUUCCUGGUGGCACAACUUCAGGGCCAACAUUGCCCUGGGAAUUUUUUUCUCAUUCUCCAUGCAUCUCCAAAAAUGAUGCACUCAUUCUGGAGAAAAGGAUAUUAUCACCUCUACAGAGAUAUAAGAUGUAUUGCUUUAAUGCUCAUGCAGUUUGGAUGGGUUGGGAUGCUUAGAUAAAAUACUAUACAAAAAUACAAAACAGUGCUCAUUGGAAUUUCAAAUCAUCUCCCCUGCACCCUUUUAAACUACUUUAUAUUUAUUGGUUAUGUCCUGCUGGGGCCAUUAGACCUUUGAUUGUAUAGUGUUUCCUUUUUACACCUCUAUUUUCACGUAUUUUUGACAUAGGGAGUAUGUUUUCAAGCCAGAGGGGAUUUUACCUUAAACAAAAUGUGAGGGAAAAAACUAGCCACAAUUAAAAUUAAAGAAGUUAGUGUUUUCAGAUAGUAUUUUGUACCUCUAUAACUUAACAUGAGAUUUUAAAAAAUAUAAUAUUGUUGAUUUACACAUUAUCAGAUAUUUGUAUUAGGAUUUGGGACCUAAAACAAGGAAGUGAUUAGUCAUUCAUAGUGGGAAACAAAGUCUAUAGAGAUGACCAGUUUGGAAUAAUUAAUGUUGUCACAGAGACAAGGCUGCAAACAUCUGUGUUCAUUCCUAGUAUCAACAUCAUUUUGUUACAUAGGUGCUUGCUCUAUAGCUUUCCUUACAGCUAUUUUUAUCUUUUCUUUUUAAAUUUUAGCUUUUUAUUAUCAAGAAUAUUGGCUUAAGCUAAACAGCCCCAGCAUAAAUCCAGUGAUCUGAGAAAUUUUGGGUUGAAUUUAACACACCGCAAAGGAAAGGCAGGAUAUUCUCUUAGGAUAGUCUCCACACCUAUAGGUUCAAAAUUUUCCUUCAGAGCUGCACAGAAAAUAAGUAAUAGAUCUGUUAGAAUUGAAGACAGGGUUUCAUCUGAAAAUGUCUCUAUUCUCUAUACUUUGAGGGCCCUUAAAUUCAAAUACAAGGCUUGUGAGGCAAAAAGGCAUGCAAACCCAGACUAGUAAUAAUUUGCCUAUGCUUCUAACACCUUUGCCCUAAGUAAUCCCACAGAGCUAAACUUACACUCCUUCAAAUAUAGGAAAAAUGAGCUCAUUAAAUUUUAAUCAUCAAUAUGCUGCAACUAAUUAUAAUGUGUCUUGUCUUAACUCAUGACUGCUGUAUAAUAAAUUCAAUUACUUUGGUUUUCUUUUCUAUUCACAUAAACUGAUCUCCAGUGAAAGGAGAGUUGCAAACUCCCAUGAAUGAAGGGAAUGAGUAACCCUUAAUUUUCAAAUCGUGACCUCAUUAGAGCAUGUGUGUAUGUGUGUGUGCACGCGUGUGUAAAAUUUGUUUUUCUAAGGAGGAGAAAGUCAACACUUUGAUAAUUAGACACCCCCCUUCUUGGGCCUCGAGGGUGUCCUAAUAAAGAAAAUUUUAUACAUUGAUGUGCUUCUCAUCUCUUCAUUUCUUUGUUCUAUCAUCCUGUUGUUAAUAGCACCCUGCAGCAAAAAAAAAUGUUUGUGAAGCUAAGAGCUGUCCAGAUAAGAGAAAAGGUCAUGAUCUCCCUCCUGCGUGUUCAUCAGCCAACGAACAACAAUCUGAAACUCAAGAUUCCUGGCAUCUCCUUUGGUGACUACCACCCCUCACUCCACACACAAACACACAUGUGCAGAGAACAAAUAUACCUCCAAUACACCUUUAUCAAAAAUAUAGAGUAAAUAAAAAAUCAAGACAUGAAGAAUGUACCUGCUGGAAAUGACUGUUUUUUUUUUAUCCUGAAUUUCCAAAAGAAACUGCUGAUCAAUUGUGAAGAAUGUGGUUGCAAUAAAAGUGAAUAUUAAGUGGAGGUGCAGUGGGGGCAGGGAGUGAAGACCAACUAAACCACAGUACCUGGUGAGGGUGCAGUUUGGGGCCUCUCUUGGUGGCUGCCCAGUACCCUUUGAAGUGCAUAUGCUGCAUGGAUGCAUGGGUGCCUGGAGCUCAGCUAGAAUGCCAAAUCCAUUCUCUCCUCUCUCUCCCUUUCUGUUGCAGAGACAGAGGCAAGGGCAAAAAUCGUUGCAGCUCUCGUAUUAUGAACCAGGAUGUUUAUUGGUGAUUUCUCUAUAAUUUGCAGGGAGAAAUAGAAUACGAUCUAAGAACAUUGGAUUCAACUAAAUAUUCAAGCUUU